CAUUGAAUGGACGCAAUAGUAGCUAGGAUGGUUACUACUAAGGAAAGACGAUGGACACCUCUGGACGAGGCAAGGACUGAACAUCAGGAUGAUGUAAAGGACACCGCUCAAGGAACAAGUGAAGCGCGCUAACGUGGAUGGUUAGCAGACUAGGAAGUCACCAAGGACACCGCUAGGAAGGCGAAGAACGGAUUAAGCUGACGGAAUUCAGCCACUAUCAUGGAUUUGAUGCAUGGAGCACUUUCGUAGCUGGAUUGCUGCAAGUAAGACUAUAACCCCGCAGGGCGCAAGCCCUCGGGGUUUUUCUUUU
rnacentral:other from 1 species